CCUACGGGAGGCAGCAGUGGGGGAUAUUGCACAAUGGGGGGAACCCUGAUGCAGCGACGCCGCGUGGGUGAAGGAGCGUUUCGGUGCGUAAAGCCCUAUCGGCAGGGAAGAAGAUGACGGUACCUGACCAAGAAGCCCCGGCUAACUACGUGCCAGCAGCCGCGGUAAUACGUAGGGGGCAAGCGUUAUCCGGAUUUACUGGGUGUAAAGGGGGCGUAGACGGCAAUGCAAGUCAGGAGUGAAAGGCCGGGGCCCAACCCCCGGACUGCUCUGGAAACUGUAUGGCUGGAGUGCAGGAGGGGUAGGCGGAAUUCCUAGUGUAGCGGUGAAAUGCGUAGAUAUUAGGAGGAACACCGGUGGCGAAGGCGGCCUACUGGACUGUAACUGACGUUGAGGCCCGAAAGCGUGGGGAGCAAACAGGAUUAGAUACCCUUGUAGUC
rnacentral:rRNA from 1 species